AGAGUUUGAUCAUGGCUCAGGAUGAACGCUAGCGACAGGCCUAACACAUGCAAGUCGAGGGGCAUCGGGACGUAGCAAUACGUUGCCGGCGACCGGCGGAUGGGUGAGUAACGCGUAUGCAACCUACCCGUAGCAGGGGGAUAGCCCGUUGAAAGACGGAUUAAUACCCCGUAACACAGGGGCUCCGCAUGGAGAUUAUUGUUAAAGGGUCAUUUCUUUUUCAGGGAUGGUCCGGCUGCGGAUGGGCAUGCGUUCCAUUAGGUAGUUGGUGUAGGUAACUGCUCACCAAGCCGACGAUGGAUAGGGGAACUGAGAGGUUGGUCCCCCACACUGGUACUGAGACACGGACCAGACUCCUACGGGAGGCAGCAGUGAGGAACUUUGGUCAAUGGACGCAAGUCUGAACCAGCCAUGUCGCGUGAAGGAGGACGGCCCUAAGGGUUGUAAACUUCUUUUGCAGUGGAAUAAAGUUUGCCACGUGUUGGCGAUUUGCAAGUACGCUGCGAAUAAGGAUCGGCUAACUCCGUGCCAGCAGCCGCGGUAAUACGGAGGAUCCAGGCGUUAUCCGGAUUUAUUGGGUUUAAAGGGUGCGCAGGCGGGGAAUUAGGUCGGCGGUGAAAUUUCGGGGCUCAACCUCGACAGUGCCGUUGAAACCGUUUCUCUUGAGUGCGGAUGAGGUAGGCGGAAUUUGUGGUGUAGCGGUGAAAUGCGUAGAUAUCACAAGGAACACCGAUUGCGGAGGCAGCUUACUAAACCGUUACUGACGCUCAUGCACGAAGGCGUGGGGAUCAAACAGGAUUAGAUACCCUGGUAGUCCACGCAGUAAACGAUGAUUACUUGCUGUUUGCGAUACACAGUAAGCGGCGAAGCGAAAGCGUUAAGUAAUCCACCUGGGGAGUACGUUCGCAAGAAUGAACUCAAGGAAUUGACGGGGCCCGCACAAGCGGAGGAACAUGUGGUUUAAUUCGAUGAUACGCGAGGAACCUUAC
rnacentral:rRNA from 1 species